rnacentral:lncRNA from 1 species
UGUUGGCCAGGCUGGCCUUGAACUCCUGACUUCAGGAGAUUCACCCGCCUCAGCCUCCCAAAGUGCUUGGGAUUAUGGGUGUGUCACUGCACUUGGAUUUAAUGGGAUAUUUCACUACAGACUUCGGUAAACAGAAUAUUAGCAUUUUUGGUGUUCUUUUUAUUUUACUCAUACUGUUUUUCUUUGGACUCAAUCACAAUAACAGAAUUAAAGAUCAAAGUGUAAAAGUUAAAGACCAGUACAGAUUCAAUAAUUAUUCUUUUCUACAUACCGUGUUUAAAUGAUAUCCCUUUUUCUUUUUGUUCUUAUAGCUCGAGCUGUAAAAGCCAAAGGUCCGGUGAUGAUCCCAUACCCUUUUUUCCAGUCUCAUGUUGAAGAUUUUUAUGUAGAAGGCCUUCCCAAAGGAAUUUUUUUUUUUUUUUUUUUGAGAUGGAGUUUUCACUCUUAUCGCCCAGGCUGGGGUGCAAUGGCGCAACCUUGCUGGUCACUGCAACCUCUGCCUCCUGGGUUCAAGAAAUUCUCCUGCCUUAGCCUCCCAAGUCACUGGGAUUACAGGUGCCCACCACCAUACCAGGCUAAUUUUUGUAUUUUUAGUGGAGAUGCGGUUUCACCAUGUUGGCCGGGCCAGUCUCGAACUCCUGACGUCAAGUGAUCUUCCCGCCUCGACUCCUGAUAUCAAGUGAUCUUCCCGCCUCGGCCUCCCAGAGUGCUGAGAUUACAGACGUGAACCCAUGCCUGGCCAGGAAUUUUGUUUUUUAGGAAGGCUUUCUACUAAUGGAAUUCCUGGCCUUGAGAGGAUGUUACUUUAGAAGGAAAGGAUUUUUUUGUUAUUAAAAGGUUCAAGCAAUUCUCCUGCCUCAGCCUCCUUAGUAGCUGGAUUUACAGGCAUGCGCCACCAUGCCUGGCUAAUUUUUUGUAUUUUUAGUAGAGAUGGUGUUUCACCAUGUUGACCAGGCUGGUCUAGAACUCCUGACCUUGGGUGAUCCACCCGCCUCGGCCUCCCAAAGUGCUGGGAUUACAGGCAUGAGCCACUGCGCCCAGCCUGGGCCUGCUUCUUUCUCUUUUUCUUUUUUUUUCAUUAGCAGCUUAAAAUUGGUGCCUUAUUCAGACACAAGCAAAAGGACAUUAGCCCAGCUUUGGAAAUAGGUGAGAGCCCAUAUAUGAUUUUCCUAGUUUCUCCUCCCCUUUUGCUUUUUGCUCUCUUGUUAGUAUAUUAAUUGUUUUCACUCUCUGAAUCUUUUUUCCCCAUUUCUUUGGCAGACAUUUUUACUUGUCUUGGAAGAGUAGGUGAAGAGCUGUUUUUAGGACUCUUUGAAAGGGUACAGUAUGGGUGACAGUCUUGGCUAAUGGUAACAUCCAGGGAGCUGGGGUCAGCGUGAGCUGGAAUCAGUUCAAAUUAGCAAAGCACUGGCACUCAGUAGCAGGAAUACAAGUGACUGCAAAGUGUUAAACACAUCUGGAGAGGGAUACUGACAUCAUCCUCAGAAUCUGUGGGGAGUUCACAUAGCCAGUUAAGACCCAUUCUUCUUUGACCCUGUAAAGAUUCUUUAAAGAAUAAAUACCCUUAGUGGUUUUCUAGCCAGCUUGCCUGCUCAUUUAUCUUUGAGGACGAUAUGCCUUGUGGAGCUCCACAGGCCCCAGAGGGGUAUGGAUUCUGCAUUUAAAAGUGCUGAAGCUGAGAGACUGGGUCUUGGUGGACCCCGAGAGGUCUGUUUCUCCUCUACUCAUUGUUCCUUUUUUUCCCAACAGCUGGCAUUGCUGUUUAAAUGGGUUGUUCUUUGCUGUUUUAAGUUGUUUCAUAGUGGUGUGUCAGGAUUUGGGUUUUCUUAAUACUUUCCAAGCUGGUGACUUGAGUGGUGGUUAGGGAGGAAAUGUUUUAGGGCUGUUCUGGAGCUAUUGAGGUCGGGUGUCUAGAUACUCCCAGCUUGUCUGUUGAGGAGAAUGCUGUUCUCAUUGUGCUGCCUUUGGUGGUGCUGUGUGUGGCUCUUUAGAUGUGCGUGGAGGUGAGCUGGGGGAGUUAAUGAGAUCUUUUUUAGGUGCUUUUGAUAAAGUAGCCUGCACUACAGGAUUCACUGUGACUUUUUUCCUUAACCUAUGCAUUUCUCUCUGCUAGCUUUUGCUGUCUUUCUCAUGCCUUUGAUUUUCCCAGCUCCUCUUAGUUGAAUUAACCUAAGUGCUCUGCUAUGGUUUAAAUGUGUCCCCCAAAGUUUAUGUGCUGGAAACUCAAUCCUCAAUGCAACAGUUGGGAUGUGGGGCCUAAUAAAAUAGCCUUCAUGAAUGAGUUAAUGUUGUUAUUGUGGUAAUAGAUUAGUAAUCACAGAGUGGGCUUAUUAUAAAACAGAGUUCAGCCCCUUUUGCCCUCUUGCUUUCUUGCACUCUCUUUUCCUUCUGCCUUCUGUAGUGGGAUGAUGCAGCAAGAAGACCCUUACCAGAUGCAGGCCCCUCAACCUUGGACUUCCUAACAUCCAGAACUGUUAAGAAAUAAAAUUUAUUCCUUUCCUUUCCUUUUCUUCCUCCUUUCCCUUCUCUUCCCUUUUCUUCCCUUCCCCUCCCUCCCUCUCUCUCUCCCUCCCUCCCUCCUUCCCUCCCUUCCUCCUUCCCUCUUUCUCUCUUUCCCUUCCUUCCUUUCCUUCCCUCCUUCCCUUUUUCCCUCCUUCCCUCCUCCCUUCCUUUUUUCUUUCCUUCCUUUUUUCCUUUUUAUAAAUUAUGCAGUCUGUGGUAUUCUUUUAUAGAAGCAUGAAAUGGACAAAGACUCCAUUUUCAAGAGCAAGCACUUUUGUAGUUUCUGAGCGAACUAUGACUGCAAAGGAAGUUCUAUAGGUAGCCUCAGAUCCACUACCUAGGAAGCAUGCUACCAAGCAGACCUAGGAUCUAGGAUUUGAUCAAGUGCUGGGCAACAUGAUACCUCUGCAAUUUAGCACUUCCCUAUAUACCUCCAGUUGGCUCAGCCCAUUAGGGCUAAAACUACCCCUCAUAUCCUAGUGUCUCUUGUAGGCAGAAGCCUUGCCUAAACCCUAAGCUGCUUGGCUC